rnacentral:rRNA from 1 species
AUUGAACGCUGGCGGCAUGCCUUACACAUGCAAGUCGAACGGCAGCACGGGAGGCAAUCCUGGUGGCGAGUGGCGAACGGGUGAGUAAUGUAUCGGAACGUACCUUUCAGUGGGGGAGUAACGUAGCGAAAGUUACGCUAAUACCGCAUAUUCUGUGAGCAGGAAAGCAGGGGAUCGCAAGACCUUGCGCUGAUUGAGCGGCCGAUAUCAGAUUAGCUAGUUGGUGAGGUAAAGGCUCACCAAGGCGACGAUCUGUAGCGGGUCUGAGAGGAUGAUCCGCCACACUGGAACUGAGACACGGUCCAGACUCCUACGGGAGGCAGCAGUGGGGAAUUUUGGACAAUGGGCGCAAGCCUGAUCCAGCCAUGCCGCGUGAGUGAAGAAGGCCUCGGUUGUAAGACUCUUUC